CACUGAUCAUGUAUCAUAUUUUUUAAAGAAAAACUUUUAAGUAUCACCCAUGUGGUUUCGUACUUUCUUAUUUUAGUAUCCUAUGGUUUAAAAUGUAUCAAGUUAAUGUUCUGUAAUUUUAUUUUUAUCUUUUCGUCAGCUUUUUCGUUAAUAUUUCGUUAAGUUAUGUACAAAAAACUUCAAAUACCCUAUCUAAAUUUAUCGAAUAUUCACUUUAAUAUCCUUUAGUUUUAACUUUAUCACUCAUUUAACAAAAAAAAAUUAGUGAAAUUAAUAAUAAAAAGAUAAAAAUAAAACCGCAUGGCACUGAAUUAAUACACUUUAAACUAUAGGGUACUAAAGUCAGAAAAUGUGAAACCAUUGAAGUGGUAUUUGAAGUUUUUUCUAUCUUUUACGACGAUCUCUCUCUCUCUCUCUCUCUAAAGUCAGAAAGUGUGAAAUCAUUGAAGUGGUAUUUGAAGUUUUUUCUAUCUUUUACGACUCUCUCUCUCUCUCUCUCUCUCUCUCUCUCUCUCUCUCACACACACACACACACACACACACACACACACACACAACUUGGAUUAGAUUUUUCUAUGAGUUCUGUUGUAAGUAUCUGACAAUGCUCUCUCUUGCUGUAUGCAUCUGUUGACAUGCAUGUUAUGCACAGAUUGUCUUGUCUAGAUCAUAUGAUAGCUAAGACUGUGUGCAUUAAUCCAUCAAAACUCUCCACAUUAAGAAUGAUGUUAACACUAUUCUUAUGUUGUUUGCUGCUAGAUUUGUUUUUUUUUCUUCUUCCACGUAGCAUUAAAGUCAAUUAUAAAUCCCUUCAAUUCUACAACAUUACGAAUUUAAAUCCCCACCUGUUUAUUUAAUGAGUUAAAAUUCUAAACAAAAAUUUAAUCGUGUGUUAAUAAGUAGUUUAUGCAUAUACUAAGUAUCUGAUCAAUAUAUGAGGAGAUUCUGGGGAACUCGCAAUAGCGGCUUUUUUUUUUUCCCUUCUUCUAUUCCUCUUCACCAUCCAACCAAAGCAAGUGAUUAAUCAUUCUAACCACAUUGUUUAUCAUUUGCUAAUCAUUUACUUUGUGCACAUAAGACUGAAACUAACUUCCACAAACAAAAGUUAUGCUCCACAUCAUUAGGGCUAUAUAUAUAGCUACAUAAAAAAAGAAAAACUUCAAAUACUCCCCCUGUGGUUUCGUACGUCCUCACUUUAGUACCAUGUGGUUUAAAGUGUAUCAAGUUAAUACCUUGUGGUUUCGCACUUUCUCACUUUAAUACCAUGUGGUUUAAUAUUUCGUUAAAUUAUAUACAAAAAACUUCAGAUACCCUACAUAGAUUUAUCGAAUAUUCAUUUUAGUUCCCUUUAGUUUUAGCUUUGUCACUGAUUUAAAAAAAAAAUUUCUAAAAUGGAUAAUAAAAAAAGAAAAAUGAAACCCCAUGAUACUAACUUGAUACAAAAAUAAAAUCACAGAGUACUAACUUGAUACACUUUAAACCACAGGCACUAAAGUGAGAAAGUGCGAAAUUACAAGAUCCUAAGAUUCCUAACUUGAUAUACUUUGAAAUGAGAAAGUGUGAAUCCACAGGGGUAUUUGAAGUUUUCCCAAAAAAAAAAAAAAAAAACCCAUAACUUUAUUUGCUCAAUCUAAUUAAUGAUAGAUUAAUUUUGUGGGACAUGUAUUAUUUUAUAUUAUUAACCAAGUACCAUACUGUGUUGUUGUUGGGGUCCCUUUCAGUCAACACCUCAGAUCAAGAAGGAAUUGAAUCCAAUAAUGCCCACAUUUAUUAAAGCAAAGGAUAAGUACAAGCAUCCAAGUGCAUGCAUCUUUUAUUGCAUUUUGGUCUACACAAUGUUCUCAAUUGGACCACAUUUCUUAUCAGGGUUCUUAACUAUCACCUUUGAUUGUAUAAUAAUAAGUGACAUUAUUAUUAAUAUUAUCAAGUGUAUCAUGUAAUUUGAUGAAGAAAUGUCAUGUCCAUUAUUUCAUGAAGAUUUGUUAAUAAGUGGUUAUGGGCUAUUUUUAAGAUGAAACACUUUGGUGGUAACUUAGAAGUGAAGUCCCGUUUAUACUAAACUAUAAUUUUAUUUUAUGACUCUAUAGUUUAGAUCUUAUUACUCAGAAGCCUAUUAGAAUUUGUCAAUAAAACGAGACAUACUUGUCAAUGACAAAUUAUUUGUUGUACUUCAGCAAUCAAUUCUUAGAUCUGAGGUACUGUCACGAUUAUCUAAUAUAUGAGUUGCUACAGUUUGAUUAUAGUAGAUUAUGCACAUCGAGAUGUAGUGCAUGAUUUGGAAUCUACUAUUAUGGACUUAAAAAUCAAUUUAAUAAAUUAAACACUGCCCCACAAAAGGUGUCACCUCUUAACUAAACCAAUGACUCAAACACCUUACAUGUUUAAAUUCAUCUUAAUUAAUUAACAUGGUAUCAAUGUCCCAAAAAGGGGCUGCAACUCUAUGCAACCUCCACCAAAUAGUAAAUAGGUUUUGAGUAGGUAAAAAUUUUCCAUAUUUGGCAUAUAAUUGAUAAUGUUGCAUAAGCCCCACUAGCACAUGGCUAUGAUGUGCUCAACAACAUGACAAAUAUGGAAUUAAAAAACAAAAAGGUUGUAAUAGAAUCAAGUGUGGGUAGUCAUUAGUCACAAUAUAUAAAUGUUUCUUUUUUAAAAAACUUUUAACUUUUGGUUUAUAUAUAUAUAUAUAGAUCUCCUCCUUGCUAUAGAAUGGUCAUAUAAUUUAUUGCACACCAAUCAUAUAUAUACCUCAUACAAUAUAAAAUAUUUUUAAUAAUAAAAUAAGAAAAGAUUAAAAGUGCUUCAGAGUUUCUGAGUUGUUCACAUUAUAAAAAUGACGAUUUUAGCUACCAUAUUACCAAACAAGAUCUAAGUCUUUUAACUCUUGUUGACCUCUAUAAGCUAAAAGGUUAUAAUAUUCUUUAUUAAAAUAAAAAAUACUUUAAUAAUAUUUGAUUAAUAAAAAUAAAGGAAGAGAGAGAGAGAGAGAGUCAAAGCAUGCACCCUGAAAAUCCUGUGUAACAAGAGAUUUAGAAAUUUCUAAAAUGUAUAUUAUGAGGAUUCAUUAGAUUUGGUUUAUUAAUUAACCUACAAAUUCUCUCUUGUAUAAGUGUGACUAAAAAUUUAGAAAUUUCCAAAAUGUAUAUUAUGCGGAUUCAUUAGAUUUGCUUCAUUCAUUAACCAACAAAUUCUCUCUUGUACUAUAUACAUAGUUUUUAUUAAAAAGAUCAGGAAAAAUAAAUUAAAGAAAAUCUAAAAAAGUAAAUUUCAAAAAUUAUUUUUAUUAAAAAGAUCAGGAAAAAUAAAUUAAAAAAUUUCUUGUGGCGUCGCCCGGGUUCGAACCGGAGACCUUCAGUGUGUUAGACUGACGUGAUAACCAACUACACCACGACACCUUCACAUUUAUGUUUUUUCAUUUAAUAUAAAUAAUAAAUACUUAGGAGUAAGAAAUAAUCUUAUUAUCAGUUAUCAUUAGUGAUUGGGAAGCUUAUAAGGGCAAGCAUAGCUGAAGCAAACUGGUGAUCUAAACCAGCCAUUGAUCGCUGGUUCAGAUUGAUUUUAAGUUUCAUAUACUGUAGAUUCAGUCGUGAUUUAGCCAUUCUAGUGAAAAAAAAUUAAAAAAAAAGUUAGAGGAUAAGUUGUGAGUUACUGCCGUAUGCGAAGUCAUUGCUCCAUGAGACAGAAACAUAUGCAUAGGCUCCCAUGGAAGUCCAAAAUUUUCAUUAUUAUCAAACAUCUGCGAACUUCAGUUACACAAACUCCUCACUUCAACCCCGGACUUCCAUGUAAACAAACAUGCCCACUCCUAAACCACCCAAACAAUCAUAACCUUUUUUUUUUUAAAUUUUUGUUUUCUUUUUCCCACUUUUUGAGACUCAAGAAUUUGACUCCCUACUUGCCACUCAAAUCCCCACCCAGACUCCUUACUAUUGCUUUUUGUCGAAUUCAAAUACAUUUUAGAAUCAAAAGAUUACAUGAAAUUCUUUGGACUAAGUUAAAAUAAUAGUUUUUAUAAAUAAAAAAUUAAACUUGAACAACAAAGGGGUGGUGGCGCAGUUGGCUAGCGCGUAGGUCUCAUAGCUUGGUUUGAGGUAUCCUGAGGUCGAGAGUUCGAGCCUCUCUCACCCCAUUCAAAAAUAUUGAAAAAUAUUCGAGCCGUGAUGAUCAUUUGUGUGUGAUCUGUGAAAGGGUGGGUCCUUCACAACCGUCCGAUUAUCAGACGAAAUCUACACAUCUGAGCUCGAAUAUAUUUUUUAUUUUUUUGGAAAAAUAAAAAAAAACUGCAGAAGUUGUUACGGCAGAGUUAUUAAAAUUGAAACCACAAAAAAAUUAGGAUUAAUUUUAUACAGGUCUCUAUAAAUAUAAUAAAUGGCAAAUAUAUUUUAUGAAGUUCAACUUUCAUAUGUUAUCCCUGUAAAAGUUCUGAUGUUAUCAAAUAUGUCCCCACCGUUAAAAUCCGUUAGAAAAAUUUAAUUAACCAUAGAUUAAAUACUUAAAACCUUGGUUAGCUUUUGAUAUUGUUAUCCUCUUAUAUGGUUAGAGUUACUAUACUCUCAUGAGUAUAGAACUCUUUGUACUCAUAAGUUUUCGAUCGUUGGAUGAAGAAAUGUACGGUUAGGAUGAUAGUGGUCCCCGAUUAGUUUAAUAGUGGUCUAUUAGGGUUAAGUGGGUGGUUAGGUGAAUAAUAUGAUAGUGAGCUCGAAUAUAAUUUUUUUUUUUGAAAAAAUAAAAAAAACUGCAGAAGUAGCAGUACGGCAGAGUUAUUAAAAUUGAAACCACACAAAAAUUAGGAUUAGUUUUAUACAGGUCUCUAUAAAUAUAACAAAUGGCAAAUAUAUAUGUUAUCCCUGUAAAAGUCCUAAUGUCAUCAAAUAUGUCCCCACCGUUAAAAUCCGUUAGAAAAAUUUAAUUAACCAUAGAUUAAAUACUUAAAACCUUGGUUAGCUUUUGAUAUUGUUAUCCUCUUAUAUGGUUAGAGUUACUAUACUCUCAUGAGUAUAGAACUCUUUGUACUCAUAAGUUUUCGAUCGUUGGAUGAAGAAAUGUACGGUUAGGAUGAUAGUGGUCCCCGAUUAGUUUAAUAGUGGUCUAUUAGGGUUAAGUGGGUGGUUAGGUGAAUAAUAUGAUAGUGAGCUCGAAUAUAAUUUUUUUUUUUGAAAAAAUAAAAAAAACUGCAGAAGUAGCAGUACGGCAGAGUUAUUAAAAUUGAAACCACACAAAAAUUAGGAUUAGUUUUAUACAGGUCUCUAUAAAUAUAACAAAUGGCAAAUAUAUAUGUUAUCCCUGUAAAAGUCCUAAUGUCAUCAAAUAUGUCCCCACCAUUAAAAUCCGUUAGAAAAAUUUAAUUAACCAUAGAUUAAAUACUUAAAACCUUGGUUAGCUUUUGAUAUUGUUAUCCUCUUAUAUGGUUAGAGUUAGUAUACUCUUGUGAGUAUAGAACUCUUUGCACUUAUAAGUUUUCGACCGUUGGAUGGAAAAAUGUGCGGCUAAGAUGAUAGUGAUCCCCGAUUAGUUUAAUAGUGGUCCAUUAAGGUUAAGUGGGUGGUUGGUUGAAUAGUAUGAUCUAACGGACGGAAAUGGUCAAAAGAGUAGAUCUAACGACAGAAAACUUAUGAGUAUAAAGAUGCCUAUAUUUAUAAGAGUAUAGUAGUCGGACGCAAUAUUAUACUGUUAUGGCUUUUGAAGAGACAUUUGUGAUGACACAAUUAAAAAUAUAAACAAUUCUCUAACGGUUCUUUAACGAUAACAAAUUAGAGGAACAUAUUUAAAAACAUCUGAACUUUUGCAGGGGCAACAUAUGAGAGCGCUUUUGGUUUGAGUUAUCUAAUUUUAGAGAGUAUUUCGAUAUAUCCAGAUAUCUUGAAUUUCUAAAAGAGAUUACUACUAAUGCUGCAUUAGCGCGUUUAGUUUAAUGCAAUAAUAUAAUAAUUAAAUUGCAAUAUUUAUAUCAUUACAAUAUUUGGUUCAGUCAUUAAAAUUCAGUAAUCUUGAAUUCUCAUUAAAAUCUUAUCUAAUAUGAAAUAACNCAUUAAAAUUCAGUAAUCUUGACAAUAAAGUAUAAUCUAUUCUAAAAUUACUCUUAGCCAUAUAUGGCAAACUUUUUUUUUACUGUUUACAAAUAAUAUUUUUUUACUAAAUUUUAUUUUAAAUAAUUUAAAAUUUUAAAAUUUUAAAUUUCAAAUUUCAAAAUUUAAAUUUGAAAUUUUAAAUUUGAAAAUUGAAAAUUGAAAAUUAAAAUUCAAAAUUUAAAUUUAAAAGUUGAUAAUUCAAAAUUUUAAAUUAAAAAGUUUAAAAUGACAUAUUGAAAAGGUUUCUGGAGUUAGAGGGUAAACUUGUAGUUUAUAUAGCAUGCAAGAUUAGUCGCCUUUAGUAAUCUAAGAUAUAACCCCCCGCCGAACAGAUUACAUACCGGAUGAACCAAACGCAAUAAUCCUGAUAGGAUUGCCUGUAAUCCUGCUAGGAUAACCCGAAUCAAACGCACCUUGAAAGUUGAACUUUGUAGGAAUAUAUUUGCCAUUCACUAUGUUUGCAGGAAUCUGUAUAAAAUUAACCCAAAAAAUUAACACAAUUGCGCAACAAAUAUGAAACCUUUCGGCUCUUCGCGCCAAGCACAACAAUUGCCACCACAUUAUUUUGUGUUUCAUCAUGUCUUUACGCCGAGGAAAUUACGAGGAUUCCAACUUUCAUGUAUAAACAAGGACAAAUACAAGGAACGGCGGUAACUGCGCGACUGCAGUGUCAUUUCUUCCCGACCGUAACUCCAACUACGACAUUGUUUACCUGCAUUGCGCAAGGCGAAUUAAAGGGAUUCAAAAGUAAAAUCAGCUUUUCGCAAAAGCCCGGGCAAUAGUGAUACCUCUACCUAGAGGUAAAAGAUGCUUACCAAGUUGCCUCUUUCGUCCACCGACUUAGGGUUCUCGACGACAACUGUGACGUUGUUGCCUUGCGAUGGAGGCUGAAACAAUUCAGAGGUAAAAUAAAUAUAAAUAAGUAAAACUAGUACAGUCCAAUUUGUAUUCAAAUUUAAAUCACCAACUUGACUAAAAUAAAAUACAUACAGCUGAAGUUGACGGAUAUUCAUUAGGCCUCUGCGGCACGGAAGCAGGAGCCAUCAUAUUGGUCAUCUAAAGGAAAAAAAGAAGAAGAAGAAAAUAUUUAUGUUACUCAAAACUGAAGAAGAUAGCAAAAGAUACUGGAGAAAAUGGAAGAGGAAUGUUAGAAGAGAGGAGAUUUCGGCAGUACCCCGGUGUUUGUAACAUAAUGGCAUACGGCGCAUUUGACAGACGGAGCUCCAUAAGGAUACAUGAGAGUCGUACGGCACUGGGCACAGUUCACAUGAGCUACGCUAUUUGCUGAUCACAGGCAAAAACAAAAUUAAAACCUUCUAAGAAUGACACCGUUAUUAUAAAUCAACUUAUUGUCGUCCAAUUUGCGGUUUGCAUUUGAAUGAUCACAAAACUACUGAUAGGAUGCAUUGACGAGUACAGAUAUUCGGCAACUUAAGAGAGGUAAAAUUUCACUUUCGGCAAAACUAAAACAGUCGAAAUGUGUCCAAGAUGGUUAAUAGCAAAACUAUAAACUACGAGUUUCAUGAGAAUAUCUCUCUCACGUCGGACCAGCAUAUUCAGGGAUACUAUAAAGGACUAAAGUAAUUAAGAACAGAAGCUACAUUACUGGCCAGAAGGACAAAUAGAAUGUCAGGAAUAAUAAAUAAAAUAUCUUGUCAUCACCUGAUCUGACAUUAUUGAUCAUGUUACAGCAGGAACAUCUCACAGUUGCUGCACCAUGAGGAUACAUCAAUAAAGUUCGGCAACCACCACAUAUAAGAUGAGCUGUUUCAACUCCUACAAAAAGGUUCGAUGCAAUCUUUCAAACACAUGUUAAUCUCCUAAAUUGCAUUGUUGAACCAUGAUAGCAUAGGCUAAGAAAGUGAUAGAAGGGAAAAAUUUAAUCAACACCUUAUGAUUCUCCUAUGCACAAGAACCUAGGAUAUCAAUAUAUCAUAAUAUAAUUCUUCACUUGUAUAAGUAGUAUUGCUUUAUAGUUCUCGGAUUUUAUGCAAAGAAAGGCUUCAUCUUUUUUACCCUAAGACCACUGAAAAAACAAAAUGAAGGUGUUUUCCAGAUACUAAGAAACACUAUCACUCCUACCAACAUUCUUCAAGUAAAGAAGAGAAGUCAUUCUAAACUUUUGCUAAAAUAGGCUAGUAAACAAGCAAUACAAAUAAUCAGCAUUCUCAGAAGUAAGAAGUACCUGGAGGGGGCACUGAAGUUAUAGUACGACAUAGUGCACAGCAUACGCUAGUGGCUCCCCUGGGAUAAAGAAGCAUGCUCCUGCAUCCAUUGCACACCACUUGGCUCUGCAUACCUGUACAAUCAAUAUUCAACCAUAGUUAAGUGAUCAAAUGCAGCUGAUCACAUAAUAAUCCAAGCAUCACGGACGUAAAGCGGAUGAUAAGAACUUAGCGAAAUGAUUGUUAGUAAACAUGCUUUACAUUAAAUCUAUUGCAUAAGGUUGACGCUCGAUUUUGAUAAAACUCAAUCUGAAGCCACAUAAUUUGAUGAGCAAAAAUGUGAUCUGUGAUCAGAACUAUUUCAACAACCAAAGAAGAGAAACAAUUUGAGAUCCUUGAAUUAUGCAUCAAACAAGAAGCAUCAGAUGAAAGGUUUAGCUAAGAUACAUAUUCUGUGAGCAUCAAAAGUGCAUUGAAUUUUGUUUGCAAGGGUUUUGAACGCAUCAAAAUAAUCAUCUAAAUCUUCUUAUUAAAUGCGCUAACGUAUGUCUUAAGAAACAACUGCUUAUUUGUGUAAUGUGCAGUGAAACAAUUAAUCAAUCCUUGAAACAGCAAGCACUUCAUUCCUGCAGCUACUUGUAUUCAGAUUUCGAUAUUUAAUUCAAAAAAACGCAAGCUCUUAAAUAACAAAAACUACAAACCUAUGCCCUACGGCAAAAAUACAGGCAAAAAUGAUCCUUCUAAUACAACACAAACAAAAGCUUCUGAUCCAAAUCAUCUUAGGUCACAAAAAUCAAGUAAUUGACUAGCUUCUUAAACAUCACAAAUCCCCCCUCGAAUGAACAGGAUAUCUCAAUCAUAUGCAUUGAAAAAACAGUGCAGAUAUGCUAAUACAGCAGUAAAACGCCCAAAUUUACUACAUCGCACCAUCGAAUCCAGAUACUCGCAACAUAAACCACAAUUUACGAGAUCAAACUCUACAAAAAGCGAGCAGAAACCCUAAUUGAGCGCAGAAUCAACGUCCAAAAACAAAAAAAAAAAAAAACUCAAAUCGAAGAUCUGAUUACCUGUGUAUUACCAAAACGAAUCGAAGGGAAACCCCGUUCCGAUCGCGAGGAGCUGUCGUUGGAAUCGGCUCCUCUCCCGAUGCUCCGCAACGAAGAGCUUCCGCGGUAUACGAAGAAGAAGACGAUCAAAUUUUAUAGAUUUAUUUAUACUUUAUUUUAUUUAUUUAUUUAUUUUAUUUAUUAUUAUUAUUUUUUGGGUGAGAGGUAGAGAGAGAGAGAGGAGGAGAGAGAACGGGUUUCGUUCUCGCCGGUUUGAGACCAACUGCUAUUGCUGGAAUUUUCCAACGACGAGGAAAAUUCACCCAAAAAUAGGAAAAUAUUGCGUGCACCAAGUGUAUCCGUACAUCAAUACACCGCAACCGCAAUGUAGUGAGUGAGGUUUCCAGGGUGGUGGUAGGGAUGCAGAUGGAUCCGGAUUGAUGGAGCUUCUGCCCGAUCCGUCCCGAAUGGGGUGGUAAGUGGGAACAAAAUAUAUAGAAAAAUAUAAUCCGUUCUGAAUCCAUCCCGAUUUGCCAAGUAAAUGGAAUGAGAGGCGGGGGACUUUUUUUUUUUUUUUUUCCUUCAAUCCUUUGAUUCGUCAAAAAUUUGUCAAAAUUCAUCCCGAAUGAAGAGGUAAGUGGGAGUAAAAAAUAAAAUAAAAAAUAAUCCGUCCCGAAUCCGCUCCAUCCGACAAGAAAUGGAGCGGAAGGUGGGGGAACUCUACUGCCGCCGGAUCCGGCCCGUUUGCAUCCCUUGGUCAUAGGUGGUGGUGUAUGAGCUCUACUUAUACACCUGGUGCACAAUGCACCGGGUGCACGCAAUAACUAAUCCUCCUCAAUCCUAUUUUUUGCUUCCCCGAAAACCCCUAAUUUUCGAUUCCUCCACUCUCUCUCUCUCUCUCUCUCUCUCUCUCUCUCUCUCUCCCCCCCCAACAUCUCCCUCUCAGUGUCUCUCGUUCUCCUCUUCCUCAGCUUCGGAUCGACACGCAUGGCGCCCCCCGCUUCCCCGAGCAUCCCCCACACCCCUCUCGGGAACCCGCUUUCGCUAUUUCCCCCUCCUCCUCCCCGAUUCCGGGUUCCCCUUUUGUGCCCUACGCCCUUCGUCUCCGGAAGAGUAAGUAGGCUUCGGUGCGAGUUCGACGUGAAGGGUAAUGGUGCCCUCUCUGGCGACAUCGACCCUCGCCUCAUCGAUCGGGUAGGGUUUCGAUCUUAAAUAACGUUGGGGAAGUUGAUUCUGAUUGAAAUGUGUCGUGGGUUCUCUUCAAAAUGUGAUUUUUUACUUCGUGGGUUGUUGCGAAGUGUAAAUUUGGACUAAUUUUUGUGUUGGUUUUGUAAUUGGAGUUGCCUAUUUGGAGGUGAUAUUGAUUGUUUGUGGUAUGAUAGUGUAUUGUAUUGGACUUGAAUGAGUUCUAGUAUUGGCUUGUUUCUCUACGUUAGUACUCUCUAGAUUAGGGUUUAGGGUUUAAGGAGCUUCUUUUCCCUCUAUGAAGUGUUGGGAAUCAUUCCAUGCUGACUCUAACCUUCCUUUGCUAAUCACUGGGGAGCAAUUCUUAUAUCCCUAUAAGAUAUUAGCUAUUCAUGUUUUAUUGCUAGAUUACCUAUCUUCUCAAGUAGUGUACAUUCCUAUUUCUAACUUAUUAGUCAAUAAUACGCACACAUUCCUGACUAUUAGAAAAAAUUAGCAUUUUUUUAACUCCAUACUUAAGGCCGACAUUGAGUUUAGUGGUCCUGCAAAUUGGUGUACAGGAAACUGCGGCCUCUUUAUGUUCAACGUCGGUCAUAUGGCAACUAAAUUUGUUCACCCUUCUUAGUUUGUGAUAGAACUAGAAUUAUGAGAAAUCCUAAAUUAUUAUGAUCCUUGUUUACGCAGCAAAAAGCACUGGAAACAGCGAUGAAUGAUAUAAACAGUUCAUUUGGAAAAGGAAGUGUUACAAGAUUAGGCAGUGCCGGUGGUGCUCUAGUGUAUGUUUUUGAGCUCCUUCGCUUUCUAUAUGAAGAUAGUUUUUUUAUUCUUCAGAGGUCGUGCUGAUUAUUCUAGUUUUACUGCAGAGAGACUUUCCCGAGUGGGUGUUUGACAUUAGAUUUUGCUUUGGGUGGUGGUAUUCCCAAAGGAAGAAUAGUGGAGGUGGGUUUGUUACUUCCAUAGCUAAAUUGAACCUCUUUUGUUGGUCAAGAUAUCAGUUUAUAAUUUGAUUGUCAGCAUCAAUAUCUUAUUAUCCAAUUCUGGAAAAGAAAAAAAGAAUGAAAGAAUCUAUCGUGACGGUUACAGUACUUUAGCCAAAGUUGCUUAUCUUGUUUAUAUAUAUGGACCAUGCAGAAUAGGAAUGUCUAAACACAAAAUUGACUUGUCAUGGACAUAUUUCUACUACCAACAAUAUGCAUCCUGAAAAUAGUUUGACUAUUUGCAGAUAUUUGGCCCAGAGAGCAGUGGAAAAACUACCCUAGCUCUGCAUGCAAUUGCGGAAGUACAGGUUGGCAUUGUAUAUUAUUUAGCUGUUUCAAUUUUUCAGACCCAUAAGGAGAUAUUGCAUUCUUUACAACCACUUGAACUAUAUUAAUGCUAAUUAUGCUUUAUUGUUGUUAAAAUAUAGCGUAAUGGUAGUUAUACUAUGCAGAAGCUUGGAGGCAAUGCGAUGCUUGUUGAUGCAGAGCAUGCUUUUGAUCCAGCUUAUUCAAAAUCAUUGGGGGUAGACAUAGAGAAUCUGAUUGUUUGCCAACCUGAUAAUGGAGAAAUGGCAUUAGAAAGUAACAUCUCUAUUUCCUCCAUAUGAUUUCUAGCUUCCAGUUGCUUUUCUUUUGUUAAGAUUCAAUCUGUCCCUCUGUUUCUAUGUAGCCAGGUGUCUAUAUCAUUGCUAAUGUUUAUUAGUAACUCUGCUACAAUAUCAAUAAUUUUGUGAGAUCACUAAAUCUACUAUAAAGCAAAUCAAAAUUUUUAUCCCGACUGCCCAAUCAUAAUUUAUUUUGACGAAAUGAUGUGUUUAAUAUAUGUUAAGAUUGAAGAUAGGUAACUAAUUGCUUUAUUCGCAGAGAGUGGUGAUACAAACUAACUUUUCUUA
rnacentral:lncRNA from 1 species